rnacentral:rRNA from 1 species
UGGGGAAUAUUGCACAAUGGAGGGAACUCUGAUGCAACGACGCCGCGUGAACGAAGAAGGCUUUCGAGUCGUAAAGUUCUUUUAUAUGGGAAGAUAAUGACGGUACCAUAAGAAGAAGCCCCGGCUAACUACGUGCCAGCAGCCGCGGUAAUACGUAGGGGGCUAGCGUUGUCCGGAAUCACUGGGCGUAAAGGGUUCGCAGGCGGAAAUGCAAGUCAGGUGUAAAAGGCAGUAGCUUAACUACUGUAAGCAUUUGAAACUGCAUAUCUUGAGAAGAGUAGAGGUAAGUGGAAUUUUUAGUGUAGCGGUGAAAUGCGUAGAUAUUAAAAAGAAUACCGGUGGCGAAGGCGACUUACUGGGCUCAGUCUGACGCUGAGGAACGAAAGCGUGGGUAGCAAACAGG